UUCGAACCAAGCUGGUGCACGAUCAAAAUCACUGAAAAGGCCCCAGAACCACACGUGGAGGAGGAUGACGAUGAGCUGGAUGGCAAGCUCAACUACAAGCCCCCCCCACAGAAAUCCCUGAAGGAGCUGCAGGAGAUGGACAAAGAUGAUGAAAGUCUAACUAAGUACAAGAAAACGCUCCUGGGGGACGGUCCUGUGGUAGCAGACCCAACAGCCCCCAACAUCACAGGUUACCCACCUGACCCUCCUUUGUGAAAGUGCCCCAGGACCAAUCACCAUGGACCUUACUGGGGAUCUGGAAGCCCUUAAAAAAGAAAACUUUGUCCUAAAGGAAGGUGUUGAAUAUAGAGUAAAAAUUAACUUCAAAGUGAACAAGGAUAUUGUGUCAGGACUGAAGUAUGUUCAACACACCUAUCGGACGGGGGUAAAAGUGGAUAAAGCAACGUUCAUGGUGGGCAGCUAUGGGCCUCGGCCAGAGGAAUAUGAGUUUCUGACUCCAGUUGAGGAGGCCCCCAAGGGCACGCUGGCCCGAGGCACUUACCACAACAAGUCCUUCUUCACCGACGACAACAAGCAUGACCACCUCACCUGGGAGUGGAACCUGUCCAUUAAGAAGGACUGGACAGAAUGAGCGCCUCUGCCCUUCGCUCUGCCUAUCUCUGCCACCCAGAAGAGCCCUUGGUCCCUCCUCCCUGGUUACAGUUGGGCCCCUUCCCCAGCACCCUCCACCAUCUCUUAGCACUGCACCCUCUCCCACACAGUGUCUCCCAGUGAUACCCGAACAAGAUGCUUAAAAUCCGGGCCUUCAUCCUGCCCUCCUGAUCAUGGCCAAGAUCUCCCAAGUUCUCUGUCCCAUAGACAGUCAUUUAAUAUUCCCUCUUUUAUUCCCAUUUGAGCAACUGGAGAUCAGAAGAUGGGCAAACUAGCACAGUCCUUCUGCCUCAGGUCCUUGUCUCUCCCUCCCACCCCUGGAUUCUCCUGUGGUUACUGCUGGUUCAGUGAAGGUCCCUCAUCACGUUCCCUGCCAACUGGGGUUUUCCUUUUCUGGGAGACACUGUAAACAGCACAAGAGAACAAGAAUAAAGCAGUUAUAAGAGCUGA